CUUGGCUCAGAGUGAGUAGAACCUGUAAGUAUGAUGGAAUAUCACACUUGUGAUUAGGUUACUAACCAGUUGACUUAGAAUUAAUCAAAAGGAAGAUUAUCCUGGAUGGACCUGAUUUAAUCAAGUGGAAGAAAGUGAAGUGUCAGAGAAGAGAGCCCUGCUGGCAUAAGGAAAGCAAACAGCCAUGUUGUAAACUGCCUGUGGAGCUUAGAAGAAUCGUGUGAUGUAGCUACGUGAAAUAAUGUCUGAAACAAAGCAGAGUAUGCAGUUACUAAAAGGCCCAGCUUCCUUGUUACUUGGGCAUCUUCACAAGUCUGUGUCAAGACACGACAUCUGGCUUCUCCCAUGAGAGCGAUUUAAGAGAAUGAGAGAGAUUUAAGAGAAUGAGAGAGAGUGAGAGCCAAGAUGGAAGUGACAGUCCUUUUAUGACCUAAUAUCAGAAUAGCAUCUCAUUACUUCUGCCAUAUUUAAUUUGUUAGAAGUGAAUCAGUAAGUCCAGCCUUCACUCGAAAGAAGAGGAUUGCACAAGAGCAUGAAUACUGGGAUAGAGGAAUCACUGGGAGCCAUCUUGGAUGUUGCCCACCACAGAAGCGGUGAUAAUGAGCUUCCUUGCCUCCUUCCUAAUCUUAAUAGUAACACUUUCAAUAUUUCACCAUUAAGUGUACUCUUUGUUAUAUAUCUGUAUAUUUAACCCUUCUUUGGAUUGAGAAAGUUCUUUUCUCGAAAUUGCUAGAAAGUUGUUUUUUUAAUCAUGAAUGUAUUUGAAUUUGAUCAAUGCUUUCUCUGCAGCUAUUGAGAUAAUUAGUUUUCUCCUUUGUUUUGUUAAUGUGUGAAUUUGCAUUGAUUUAUUUUUAAAAUAUUAAUCAGCCAUACUUUUCUGAUGUAGGCCAAAUGUGGUUCUGAUGCUAUAUAUUUUAUAUACUGACAUAAAUUUUAUUUGCAAUUUAUAUUGCAUUUGAUAUUUAUUUUAUUUGAUUUUACUUGCAAAUGUUUUGUCUGAGGUUUUUCCACCAAUGGUCAUGAGAAAACCUGACUUAUAAUGGCCUUUUCUUGUAAUGUCAUUGUCAGGAAUUGCUACCAGAGUUUUGCUGGCCUUUUGAAAUGAAUUGGAAAGUGCUUCUUGUUUUCCACAGUUUGUAUAAGGCUGAUAUUUUUCUCCUUUGAUGUUUGGAAAAAAUUAGCAGUAAAGCCAUUUGGGCCUGAAGUUUCCUUUGUUGGAUUUUUUU
ensembl:lncRNA